rnacentral:antisense_RNA from 1 species
CUUUGCGGCGGCUGUAUGUGUGGGCACCUUCGGGUGCGCCGGGUUUUUCUCUCAUGUUCCGGUCUGCUAACCCGCAUACAGUCGCCACCAUA